rnacentral:sRNA from 1 species
AUACAUCAUACAGUAACACACUUAUGUGCACCAUUGGUGCUGAGCUGCUGGUUAUCCCACUCUGCCAUGUGUGCUGUUUCUCUUUGUUUUUGCCACUACUCCACUCUGUGCUUGAAAUUCUGUGACUCUUCCCUGUAUCUAUGCCAGCAGCUCAUGCAACAUCAUCUGCUCCCACCGUAACUCUAGUGCAGCUGCCCAAUGGGCAGACAGUUCAAGUCCAUGGAGUCAUUCAGGCGGCCCAGCCAUCAGUUAUUCAGUCUCCACAAGUCCAAACAGUUCAGAUUUCAACUAUUGCAGAAAGUGAAGAUUCACAGGAGUCAGUGGAUAGUGUAACUGAUUCCCAAAAGCGAAGGGAAAUUCUUUCAAGGAGGCCUUCCUACAGGAAAAUUUUGAAUGACUUAUCUUCUGAUGCACCAGGAGUGCCAAGGAUUGAAGAAGAGAAGUCUGAAGAGGAGACUUCAGCGCCUGCCAUCACCACUGUAACGGUGCCAACUCCAAUUUACCAAACUAGCAGUGGACAGUAUACAUACCUGAGGGAUACAACAUACUCCUGUCAGUAACAGAUUCAC